rnacentral:tRNA from 1 species
GGUGGGUUGGCCGAGUGGUCAGGCAACGGCCUGCAAAGCCGUGUACACGGGUUCGAAUCCCGUACCCACCUCCA